rnacentral:lncRNA from 1 species
GUUAAGUUAACGCGGGCCGCGAGAGAUCGAAAUUGUGGCACAGCCCGGUGAUGACACGUGUCAUCAUCGUGGCGGGUCUAGGGGGUGAGCCGGACAAGCUAGUCCGUUGACCAGGAUUGACGCGGGCCGCAUAAUCCCUGUCCAUUCUUUACGCGGGCCGCGUGGGAACCAGAAUCAGCACCUAUAUAAGAAGGCCAUCGGGUUUCACUUUCCGUCGCUCACAUCAUUCUUUCUAAACGAAUUUCUGAAGUAGUAGAGAUUAUAGUUGGGUAUUAUACCCCUAAUUAGUGAAGCUCUGCCUCGUUGUAAGUAUCAUAACCCCUGGAUACGUAUUAGAUACUCUGCCCGAUUGAUCUAGGGUUCCGUAACGGCUGUCGUGGUUCUGCCCGACAUAGUCGUUGGAAUGCCGUCUCGGGGAGGAUUAUAACCAGGAAGCCACAAAGGAAAUACCCAAAAUAGCAAUGUGAGUAAUCCUCUUUUUGUGUAAACCUUUUUGUGAGUAAUCUCCUUUUUGUUAACAGUUUUUACAAAACCUUAACCUUU